rnacentral:lncRNA from 1 species
CAAGAUUUAGCACUACCACAUUGUGUCUUAAUUUAUGAGAUAUUUUAUAAAUCAAGAACUUUUAGAUAACAAGUUAUGCCUUAUGGGUAAGAGUAGACACUACCAUAUUAUAUCUUGAUUUGUGAGAUAUUUUAUAAGUUUUAUCUUAGAGGCUCGAAUUAGUCCAAGGAAUUUCAAACAAUAAGUUACGCCCCAUAAACAAGAGUUGACACUACCACAUCGUGUCUUGAUUUAUG